GAUUAACGCUGGCGGCGUGCAUAACACAUGCAAGUCGAACGAUGAAACUCAUUAGAUUUCUUCGGAAUGAAAAUGAAUGGAUUAGUGGCGAACGGGUGAGUAACGCGUGAGUAACCUGCCUAACACAAGGGGAUAGCCUCUGGAAACGGAGAAUAAUACCCUAUGAAACCAGACAAUCGCAUGAUAAUCUGGUCAAAAUGUUUAGUGGUGUAAGAUGGACUUGCGUCUGAUUAGCUAGUUGGUGAGAUAAAAGCUCACCAAGGCAACGAUCAGUAGCCGGCUUGAGAGAGUGUACGGCCACAUUGGGACUGAGACACGGCCCAGACUCCUACGGGAGGCAGCAGUGGGGAAUUUUGCACAAUGGGGGAAACCCUGAUGCAGCGACGCCGCGUGAUUUAGAAGGCCUUCGGGUUGUAAAAAUCUUUUGUAUAGGAAGAAAAUGACAGUACUAUACGAAUAAGGUCCGGCUAAUUACGUG
rnacentral:rRNA from 1 species